UCAAGAAUAUAUAUACUUUAUAUGGUCGGAAACGCUUCCUUCUGCCUGUUACAUACUUUUCAACGAAUCUAGUAUACCCUUUUACUCUACGAGUAACGGGUAUAAAUAUGUUUAUGUGUAUAUAUCAAGUAAAUCUUUUGUUGGAUAUAUUGCUGAAAGAUCCAGUUGCAAUAACAGCAGAUGGUAGAAUUAAAAAAAAAACCGAAGAAUUAAUAGCUCCAUCAGGGGUUUUCAUACAUGAGAAAACCUACUCAAUAGAAUCUGAUCUUUAUGUUUUAAUAUCUGCACGAAAAAUAUUAAAGUUUUUGAAAAUAUUUUUAAAAAUGAUGAGAUACCACUAUAUACAAAAAUGUAGGGUACAGCAAUGCAUUAUGUGCACAAUGAAAGUAAUAAUGAAUGUAAUGUGCAUAAAGUUGAUCUUUUAAACAAACAGAAGUUUUACUUUUUAAGUAUUGCAUUUAAAUGUUAAAAAAUAUUUUAAUAAUUGACGACUGAAUUGACUGAAAAUAAUAAAAUGAUUAAAAAAAAUAUAUUAUAUAUAUACAUAUAUUGUAUAUUUUAUUAUAUUAUAUUUUGUUGUUAUAUAUUAUAAUAUAUAUAAGUAUACAUUGCGAAAAAAAUAAUAGCAGCACCACUACGUAUUUUAUUCUCGAUCAAAUAAAUUAAGGUUGCGGUACCGAAGGUAUGAAAUACAGAUUUUUCGUAUAAUGCUAGAUAUUUUUCCCAUACAAAAAUGUAAAAAAAGAUUUGAAUUGUCCAUACCUUUAUUUUUUAUAUUUUUUUUUGGUCAGCACUAUCGAUUUUUUCAAAUAUUCAAUACUUGUCGGCGGUUUGUUUUGAUGAAAAACACAUGGUUAUAAAACUUGACAUUUGUAUUCCUAUUUCCAACAUUAUUUUUUAAACAUACCUUAAAAAAAAUUAUUAAAACCAAUUUCUAAAGGAAAAUUACACAGAAAUAUUGGUCUAAUCCUUCAAUUCUAAAACAAAAUUAUAGGAAAUGUAAUCACCUACAACGAGAAUCCCGAAAAAAGUGGGAAAAAACUUUUACUCUUUUUCUCUUCAAAAGGCGCCUAGUGCCCGAGAGCAAGAAGGAUCCAUUUAAAGCUGCUAGCGAACUGAAAAAGGAUCUCAACAUAUCCGCAACAGUGCAAACAGUUCACACAUGUCUAAGGGAACAUGGUUUAAAAGGCUGUAGUCCAAGGAAGGUCCUUUAAGUUCGUCAAGAAACAUUUAAAUUGGCCAUGCGAAAAAUGGACGAACUUUUUAUGGACAGAUGAGAGCAAGGUAGUUUUUUUUUGUGGCAAUGGAUCUUGAUCGAAUGUAAGGCGCCCUAGGAACACCGAAUAUAAGCCAUAUAAGCCAAACUACACAGUAGAAGCAAUUAAACACGAAGGAUCCUGUAUAAUGGUAUGGGCUUGUUUCUCGUACUAUGUAGUUGGGGCAAUACCAUAAUAUACCAUGGAUACAAACCAUCAUGGAUCAACAUGUGUUUGUGGAUAUUUUGGUGACGAUGAUGCUACCCUUUUCCGAAUACUAUUAACAAGACUAUGACCCCAACUACACCAGCAGGAGAGCCAAGGAUUCGUUCCAAAAUAAAUCUGUUCCUGUUUUGGAUUGGCCUGCACAGUCCCCAGACCGUAAUCCCAUCAAAAAUUCUUGGAGUCCUGGAGCAAAAUAUCCUUAAAACGGUGCCAGGACUUGGUUGAUUCCAUGGUUAAACGUUGCGAUCCUGUUACCGGUAAUACCCAACCAAAUAUUAAAUUAGUGGAAUGGGUGUAGUUUUAGCACGCAAACAUUUGUUAUUAGUGAAUUUUUUACUAUCAAGUUUAAAAUGAAAAAUGUAAGCAUUUUUCAUGAAGUGCUGCUAUUUUAUUUUUCGCCUAAUUUUGUCGUUUUUAACAAAGAUACUUAUUUAAGAUAAGAAUAAAUAAAACAA